GUUCCAGCCGCCGCGGUAAUACGGGGGGUGCAAGCGUUGUUCGGAAUUAUUGGGCGUAAAGAGCGUGUAGGCGGCCGGAUGUGUCAGAUGUGAAAGCCCUGGGCUCAACCCAGGAAGUGCAUUUGAAACUAUCCGGCUUGAGUAGGGGAGAGGGAAGUGGAAUUCCUGGUGUAGAGGUGAAAUUCGUAGAUAUCAGGAGGAACACCGGUGGCGAAGGCGACUUCCUGGCCCUAUACUGACGCUGAGACGCGAGAGCGUGGGUAGCAAACAGGAUUAGAUACCCGCGUAGUCC
rnacentral:rRNA from 1 species